GUCCAGCUCAUCUCGUAACGCUCAUCAUCUGCUAUAGUGAGUUGUCUAUGCUAUACUCUUAUGAGUCUUUCAACAGUAACCAAGCCUGAAACUGAUCUGCGGUCCGUGCCAGCCGUUAUCAAUGAUGUCUACUGAGCUGGGGCAUUGUGGGACUGAUUGUUGUGGCUGGAGAAAGAGGCAAAAGAGACUUGAGCCAAGCCCCAAGUCAAGUUAGGCGUUUGCAAUUCCUCCAUUUUCAAUGAGCAGAAGCAAGGUCAAACCGCACUUCCUCAGUACAUCUUUCAAAUAGUUUUUGUAUAUUUAUUCAAUCUCACAAUUAUAUUAAGGCUUCAUUAGUUUUAGUGCUUUGCUCAUCAACCCACUGGUGCCUUGCAAUGUCACUUUUACAUUUAUAUUGGAUUUAUACAGCAAUAUUCCCAUCACAACACAAAAGUCUGGUCAUAUUCGCAAAAUGUUGUGGUCAAACCGGCUAAUUUGAGUGAACGUUGUGAAAUCUGCCUAAGGCAAUCUUACGCCCUCAGCACAAAUAACUGCAUUUUGCAAGAAAAAAAUUCAUCGUUGGUAAAUGUUACCAUGCCUUAAGUCAAAUAUCCCAGUCACUCAGAAGUUGGCAG